UGCGCUUGGCGGGGCGGUGCAGGGCAGUGCUGGCGCGGGAUGGGGCGGGAAUUGGAACAGGGCAGAGGUGCCACCCACCGUCUUGUGGGUCUGGGUUCAACUCCCAGCUGUCCCUACAUGUAAUGGCCCAUGAUACAUUCACACAUGGGUCUGGUCUGGGUUGACACUACUGCAAGUAGCGGUUUAAGGUCCUGGGUUCGAUUCCUGGGGAGACCCCCGAAUUAGUCGGGAGCGCGAGAUUAUGGCUAGCUGCUGAGAUGUGGAGUUGAGGUCACAGUUGAUGGACCAGAUUCGCACGCUGGAUUGGUGGCGAUUGCCGAACCCUCCGUCUCUUCGGGUGUUCGGGUGAAUGGAUGAGGAGGGGUCCCUGAAGGCUGGAUCCGCCGCCUUGGACUUACAGUUCGUAUGGCGAAGUACAGUGUGGUAGUGGUGGAUGGUGCUAUAAGGUGAUAAAUGAUCUAGAACUGACAAUGUGAUAAAGCGGCCCAGAAGCCUCCCACUCUGUAACAUUACAUUACACAUUCACACAUGUGUCCGUGAAGACAUGAGCAUGCGGGCAGAGGGCACACACAUACAAACACAAAGGACGGAGGGAACGGCAAGGGAGAGCAGAGGGGACAGCAGAGGGGAAGGCACAGGAUGGCAGAAGGGAGGGCAGAGGGGAGGGGAAGGGAGGAUGAUGGGAGGGAGCGUGGAGGGAAGUGGGGGGGAUGAUGGAGGAAGGGUGGGGGAAGAGUGGGAAAUGGUAUUNNN
rnacentral:lncRNA from 1 species